ensembl:lncRNA
AUGUGCCAGUCAGGCCUGACGCUCACUGUCAGCCACAGCACUAAUCAGAGGAAGUUGCUUCUUUGUCACAAUUUGCUGCAUUCAUUUAUCGCCCAUGCAGGAAGGAGCCAAAUCCCUUCAUUUGGACUAAUCACUUCUCUCUUUUUAGUGACAUCUCAGCGCACCCGCAGAUUGACAACUCCUUCUAGCGCGCAGAGUGGCACACGCACGCCAGGCUGCCUCUCCCUCCUCGCUUCCCUGGGCCUGACACAUCACACGCUGGGCCACCACAAUGGGCUGAGUCACGACCACUGCAGGAAUCAACACUGUACUUCAGACACGAUUGUCUUCUGCCCUUUACAACAUUUAUGUCCCUUUGUUCCCCAAGAUAAAGGCAACAGUCACAUGUUUGGGCUUAAAGCGCCCAGCAGCUGCUCCUCUCCUCCUCUAUAUGCUCACAUCCCCCUCCGCGCUACCAGGCAGCAUUCCUCCGAUGGGCUCCCCAGGCAUCAAGGACGUAAACACAGACAAACCGAUACCCCUGAACACCCCCACCCUCCCAUGAUGCCUGUUUCCUGGGAGAGUGCUGUGAUUUAUGGUGGAAUGAGCCAGAGUUGGCCACCAAGGUAGGGGCUCCCAAGAUCGGUAAAUACCUACACCAAUCAGGCAGGUGUCUAAAUAAUUUAGCUUUUGUGCUAUGACACUCUUGCAGCAUUAAAAAGACAGAAACACAACUGAAAUGGGAAGAGAGAUCUCCGCUGGAUUUGACAAAUGCCUCAAUAAGAGCCAACUAUUUCCCUCAUUUAUUCUCUGAUUUCAUGAUGUGUCAAGACAAAACAACCCCCCCCCCCACAACAAUUGUGAUAGAUUGGAGGUUUGGGGGUUCACGGCCAUGAGAUGGAACUCUGGCUUUAAGCCCCCGCCACCUCCCCUCUCUCAGGCAUCAAAGGCAAUCUUGGAAAUAGGCCCCGCAAAGCCAUCUCUCCGUUGGCUUCUUCAAAGGACAGGAAGUGUGUCAGAGGGACAGGCCUUCUUUCCCAGCAAAUUCAGGCGAGAUGCUAUAAUAACAAGCUCAUCUAUGUGUCUGUGGCAGACUAGUUCAAAGGGGAGCCCGAUUCCUCUUGGUACAACAUGUGAUGAUAGAUUCAGGAUGCAGAAACACUGUUUAGUGAAAAUCCAACUGGAGGGCUGCAUCAGGGACAUCUGUCCAGUGAAUAGACAUGUCCCCAAACUGUGAAAAAUCCUGCCCUGAAAAUUGGGGUCAGUUUGCUUUUUUAAUCUUAACUUUCCCCAGUAAUCAUCCCAACUCAGUUAUAGUUGCAUUUGUGACCUUUGGCUAUCAGCUACCUAACGGCAGAAUUUAUACAGGACCACAUUUGCAAGUGUUCGGCGCAUCAAACUCCUACACUGGCAUGUGCUCUUUAUGGCCCUGUAUCACCUGGUAUUUACAUCCAGCUCAGGUGAUCUGAUCCAAAGUGGACAGUUCUUAGUGCACCAGUGAACGCACCCAUUUGAGAUCUGAUCACAUGUGGCCACAUUCUUUUAGCUGUGUGAAGGACUGGGUACUAUACGGUCUUGAAGAAAGGUUAAAGGUAAAAAUGUAAAAUGCACACAUGCACACAUGCACACACGCACACAUACACACACGCACACAUACACACACACACACACCAAUAAUAAUUUAGCAUAAGUGCUGUAUUUUCUCAUAUAUAUAGAUCUAUAUAUAUAUUUCAUAUUAAACACCACUGGAGAAUGAACCUUUUUUGGAGAAAAUAAUCAAGGAAACAUGUUACAAAUCUUAUCUAUCUGUUUCUACAAAUAUUAUUUGUUUCUAUGCAUAUUUUUUUCUCUCCCAAAACUGUAGAAUGACACAGGUGGAAAUAAUCUAAAUCUGGUUUCAUUAAUUUCCAACUCAUGGUGUUGAUUAGAAGAGUCAUGUGGUAUCCCUUAAAACAUUGCUAUCCCUACACUGCUGCUUUCUCACAGGAGGAUGCCCACUGUGUGUGUGUAUUACCGUCACACUGAGCUGCUGGCAGCCUGGCAAGAAAUGGCACAGUGGCUUCUGUCUUUUAUUAUAUAUUUGAAGACUUCAAAAGAAUCUUCGCCUGCUUUCAUCUGCUGCCUCAGUCCAAUAAGACCGUGAUUUUCUAAACCUCACUCCUGUGUCACAGACAGAUGCACGCUGACCAAGGAGCCCAGUGUGAUUUUUGUUCUUGCUGAUAUGGUUUUAUUCCAUGAACAACUUUGUAGAUCAAGAGGGGAGAUUAAAAAACAACCCCUGAUCCAACAGGGACUUAACUGUAAGGUGUCCUGCUCUAUUAAGGCUGUUCAUUCAUUCCAAAUCAUGGAAAAGCUGAGCUGUAGCUAAUGCUUUGUGAUUUAAAUGUUUUUUGUUUUGUUUUUUUACAACUUCCAGGUUAUUUUCUUUGCUUAAAAAUAAAAUGUGACAGAGCACAGAUCUGGACUCCUGUGAGCUGAGCAGAGACCAGUCCUGUCCUGGGACCCCUGGAGCGACCCGGUCCUCAUUUUUGGGAAGCACCGACAAUAGUGCGGCGACGUUUUUACAGUCAGCAGCCGAGGUGUAAAUCAUCUCCAAGCGGCUGACAAAGGUUUCCUUUACGCCUCUCUCCUCUUUGAAGAGGGGCAAGAACGGGGGGCUGCGUCAAGUCAGCUGGAAAAAAGUCCAGCCACCCCGGAAGUUGUUACAUGGAAUAUUCAGAAUAAUAAAGCUGAAAGGGAAAGGAAAUUGACAUCUCGUGGAGCUGCUAAACUAGUCUAAUCAAUCACACUGAGUCUAGUUUUUCAAAUGUAAACUUGCAGGCACAUAUUUACAUCUAUGUACAACGCGCACACGCACACAACAUUUGCAUGUGGCCACGUGUUAUCUUCAUUUUCAUCUGGUCUGCUCACGAGCGUCUCCCGAGGCGGCGGUUUUACACUGAAAGGGCUUGACCGGAAGUGGAGCGUUCCCCUGCGUGCGACUUGCCGGUGGCUCCGGAUCGGAGGCUGGUGUGGCUCUCCAGUCGUCACCGAGCGCCAGUCUGCUCUCACGGACGCUCCUCCGUCUGGAUACCGCAGCCUUGACUUUUUAGUCGCUUUUUUAAGAUCAUUUUCUUCUCGGGAAUAUAUUCAUCCGAUGGUUUUCCAA